rnacentral:lncRNA from 1 species
GGUGGGCGCGCCUGGCGCGGUCGCCGUUCGGACUUCUCCUCCCUCCCAUCAGAGCCCCAGUUAGUCCGCGUCCUGGGGCCGCCCAGCCCCGCCCACGCUCCGGCUUACCUGCACGGCUGAGCGGGAGAGGAACAAGCUCUGCUCCACGGGACGGCAAAAGGUAAAAAAACCCCUCACGCAACUGCGUCCGCACACACGCGUGCUCCGUCGCCGGGCUAUAUAACGGUGACUCAGCCUAACUUGUUGCGGCCAGGUCGGCCAGGCUGGUGGCCAAUCCCGACUGCGUCCUCUGGGCUUUUCGAGCAGCAAUUGGGUACUUACUCAGGAUGAAGGCGUGGCUCUUGAUUGGCUUUAACUCAUGCCUAUGAGACUGUGAAGAGCUCGUUUCCCUAGUAACGAAUUGGCAUUGAGAGAGGCCAAUAAGUGAAGGGUACGGUGUGAAGGAGGGAGGGAAGUUCUUUGAUCGAUGUCCAUUGUAGCCAAUAAAUAUGUGGGACCGCUCCCAUUCGUUAAAACGUCUUCCCCUGGGCGGAGAUCAGUUCUCCCUGCAGGAGCGGUUGCUCCACAAGGUGGGGCCCGUGUACUUUGGGGAAGUAAACCCCAAGCAACUAGGAGGUGGGCGCCAGGAUGGCCAAGGAAGCCCCCGGCCAAUCGCAGAGCGGGAAGGAGCUGAUUGACGCGGGGGUUGGACAGCACCAAGGAGACCGAGCCCCGGGUCGCCGUGCCCUCUGGGGCGGUUCUGAGGUUCUACUGGUCCCUGCUUCUGUCUCCUUUUUCGUUUCCUUUCUUCACUCCUUGGGUGCGAUCCCUGAGACCCCUGAUCCCACCUUUUCCGCACAGUUUGAUACCAGGGGAACCAGGCAUGUGACCCUGCAGCAGGGGCUCGCGUUAAGUUUUGCAAAUUUGGAAAUGAAGCACGUGGAGCCUCUCUAUUGGAGACAAGGGGGCGCGGACAGCAGCCGGUGAAGUCGGAGGUGCGGCCCCAGGAGCCAAGUGGGAGCAUCCCUUUGGCCCCCUAAGCCCCAUCCAGCAACGACUUGGCUCAUUCAGCAUUUAUUGGGCUCCAGGGGCUGGGAUCAGAGACGAUCGAGACGCUGUCCCUGCUGGCUGUCAUCCAUUCAACUAGCCCGGACGCCGCGCGGAGAGCUCCCCAAACUGGGGAACCGGUGUGUGGGGCUGUGGAGGCACCUGAGGGAACUCGGCUCAGGCAGAAGCUGCUAAAGGUUUUCUGGAGUAAGGAACCUACAGGAUCGUGUUUACCUUGCUAAGAAACUUGAGCUUUAUUCUGAGAGCGGUGGAGAGCCCCCAAAGGUUUCUUAAAAGGGUGGACUAAGAGUUUUGCAUUUUACAAGACAACUUUCCAAAUUGAAAAGCUAAUGAGAGCUGGUUAGCAACCCUUGAAAUUCACAGAUUGGUAAUUUAACCCAGUUGGCCUGAGAUCGGGGGUCCAGGCUAUUCUUGAUCACAUUUGGAGCGAAUUUUAAGUGAUACAGACAGUUCUUUUUGUAGGACUUUUGGCAGUCUGUUAAAAUUGUGUUUAUUUCCCUUCUUGCUUGAAAGCCAUGUGGCUUUACCAAGAGGCAUGUACUUGGUGUUCAUUACAGCACUGUCCAUUUUGUUAUGAUAUUUAAAAACUGAAAACAUAACUACUCAUGAAUUUGCAAACUGACUAGCGGUAAUAUACCCAUAAUAUAGACUACUGUACAGCAGUUUAAAAGAGAAUGAGAAAAAACUAGAAGAGAAUGAGGUCAAACUAUACUGAUAUGAGCUGAUCUCCAGUUGUUAAUUGGAUUAACUGACAAAAAUCAAGUUGAACAAAAUAUACAAUGUGUUCCAAUUUAUGUUAAAAAUGAAAAACCAGAAC